AACUCCACUUGGAUUUUCAGAUCUCAGGAAUGGAUACAGAAAUCUGGUGCAUGCUACUGGCUGGCUGCCUUCAUUCAGAGCACAAGUGGCUGUACUUGCCUAGGAACAAAAUGCUGCAAAAUGGUGAAUGAGCAUGUGAUGAAGGAAAGAAACAGCUUUAUCACACCCCAAAGUUGGCUUGCUGGCGAAUUCAUGGAAGUAACAAGGACAGAACCAGAUUGCCACUCCCUUGGCAGCUUCCUGGCCACAGAGGUGAACCUUCCAGGGAAUGUCUUUCCAGUGGCUCUUACCUGUGGCUGAGGCUCCAGAUGGGACACCCUGUACACUUCUGCCCUUGUUCUCUCCUGAAUCUUCUGUGCUUGUUCCUGCUCAGGCUACACUGCACUGCAAAUAUUUGCUAGCUCACACAGAAGUCAGACAUUGGUUGUCCCAAGCCUUCCUGGAAGAUGCCUUUCAAAACCGAUUUUGUUCCAUAUCCGCUUUGAGCUGUGUAGAAGAAAAGCUAUACAGAGAGAGAGCUGAGCCUGGCAGAGCUGGCUGCUUGAGACGGAUCCUUUGCAGCACAGGAAUAAAUGAUUCUGUCACUCCCAGGAAACAGAGCCCUGGGUCCAAACUGUCGUCUUCAAAAAGACUUGGAUUUAUCUGUUUAUAGCAUGAGAGAACUCAGAAGCAACUGAAGGAGCAGGGGCAAUACCAGAAAUAUCACAGACAAUAGCUGCUGGCAUGUGGUCACUUAAAAGCUGUUAG
ensembl:lncRNA